GUCAGUCGCUCCCGAUCUUCAGGAUUAAUCCAUAAAGAAUCGAUCAAAUCUGCAGUGCAAUGAUCACCCCUAUGCGCCGUGAAAAAGCUAGAGUGCAGGGUCAAAGGGUUAGGAUACCAUUCUGGAAACCUGAAGCCCCUUCUCUACAGCUACACAGGGAAACUCCCUACUUGGAUAAUCAACUGACAGAUAUUGUUUCCUAUUGAAGGCAUCUUCGUUGAAAACAUAUAAAUUACUUGGCUAAGACAGGAGAGAUUGGAGGGAAAGUGAAAAGUCCAGUCUGUGCAGACAACCAAAAUAAACAGAUGAGUUGACUGGAACCAACAGCCAGGAGCAGAAAGGUAAAGAAGCAGGCGGGAGGAGGGGUAACAGGGGUCUGCAGGUAUGGUCCUCCAUCCAAGUCAUCUG